AACAUCUUCUUACCAAAAAGUGCAAAGAUAAGGAGAUACGUUCUGCGCAUGCGCAGUGCUAUCUCCUUAAAUACGCAUAAUUUGUUAAAAGGAUAUUAAGCAAAGUUGUAGCCCUCAUAAAGACGAACAACUUUUAUUAACAUCUUCUUACCAAAAAGUGCAAAGGUAAGGAGAUACGUUCUGCGCAUGCGCUGCGCUAUCUCCUUAAAUACGCAUAAUUUGUUGAAAGGAUAUU
rnacentral:miRNA from 1 species